CUAUAUGAUGGCAUUUUUCUGUUAUGCUAUUUGUCAUUCCAAUUAAUCACACAUCUUACUUUCACUAUGCUUCACGUAUUGAUUAAUUGAAAUGUACAGCUUCUAGGUGGAGCAUGAACUUCGGUUAAGUAAUCACCUUGAACUACACCUUCUAAAAUACACUGCAACACCAGCUGAAUUCAUCACACACCUUACUUUCACUAUGCUUUGCAUAGUGUUGCAGUGUAUUUUAGAAGGUGUAGUUCGAGGUGAUUACUUAACUGAAGCUCAUGCUCCACCUAGAAGCUGUACAUUUCAAUUAAUCAAUACGUCUUUAUUAAAAUAACCUAAAUAGUAACGGUUCUCUAGAAGAUCAGAAGAUGGAAUCUUUGAUAAAAGACUUAUCAUUUCUUGUCCCCAGUAUGGUAAAUAGUAAAGUAGGAUAUAAUAAAGACGUCGUUUGCCCAGUUUCCAUUUAUAGUCUCUUUGAUGGUUUCAAUCAGUGAGGGAAUCAUCCAAUAUUUUUCUCCUGUUUUUAUCUAUUAAUGUAGUUUCUCUGGAGUAUAAACAACCUGUUGUAUCCAAUGGUAAGUUAUAUUUUGCAAGUUUUUGUGCCAAUAUUUUGGCUACUUGUAAUAGACAUUGCGGCUUUAGAUAAAGGUUAUGCUAAAUCUCAACACGACAUUUAGAUAUGGAUGUGAUUCUCUGGUAAUAGUUGGGCCAGUCUAUUUGUUUCUAGGCUUAAUAUUCCGGUGAAAUAUUAUAUCAUUUAUUUUUUACCUUGUUUCUCAUUAAAAACUUAAUGUUUGAAGGGAUAUGCUCAUGUUGUUUGAAAUAUGCGUAUAAUUUAAGUCAUUUUUACAACAGCUAUAAGAUUAAUCAAAAUUAUAAAAUGCACUGGCAUGAAUCACCACUUUAUCGACUCUGUAGCCAUUUAGCUCCUUGCGUCUCACUUUUCAUCCUAUAUUCAGACUUAUUCAGAAGUUCAUGGGCAUUCCUAAUGCCUUUUUCAAUGUUGAAAUGAUGGGUUAUGUAUCCGGAAUGUCAACCAGUUUUUGUCUUUUGGGUUAGUCCAUCUCAUAUCCAUGGGAUUCCUUGUAGCCAGAAUUGCCAGUAGGUGACGUCUUUUUUUUUUUUUUUAGCCCUUAACUUUGAUGGGAGCACUCCAUCUCAACCCUGCAUCAUUCCUAGUGGCGGCAUCCUAGUCACAUGGCAACUUAAAGACAAGAUCAUGGGUAAUAAGGCCCGUGCAAGGGCUCAAAUCCAGCGAACUAUUGGCCUCGCCGAAUCAAAAUGGUAUUGCAGCAUGUUAGGGAGCCUGUGGCUUUCGAGUGUGGUUCAAAGGGACUAGCCCCCUAUCCCCACACACACACAUUAAUGGAACAGCUCCCUUGGAUUAUGCGCUGACAUGGACUUGUUCAUUUUUUUUUCUGCUCCUUGGAUUCUAUUCACGGUUUACUCUCUCUCUCUCUCUCUCUCUCUCUC
rnacentral:lncRNA from 1 species